GAGGAUCAUUGUCGAUACCUAAAAAGGCAAACCGCGAACACGUUUUCAUACAAUGGGAAGCGCCGCUUGGGGCAACUCGGCGGUGCGUCCUCAUCCCGUGUGAGCUUUGCUCACGGCGGGCAAACAAACCCCGGCGCGGCAUGCGCCAAGGAAAACUAAUAGGAGCGUCCGCCCCUUCGCCCCAUUUUUGGCAAGCGAGGGGGUCCGGAUGUGCCUAAAAUGUCUAAACGACUCUCGGCAACGGAUAUCUCGGCUCUCGCAUCGAUGAAGAACGUAGCGAAAUGCGAUACUUGGUGUGAAUUGCAGAAUCCCGUGAACCAUCGAGUCUUUGAACGCAAGUUGCGCCCGAAGCCUUCCGGUUAAGGGCACGCCUGCCUGGGCGUCACGCAUCGCGUCGUCCCCAUACCCCCCCUCCUUGGGGCAAUUUUUUGGGGCGGAUAAUGGCCUCCCGUGCGCCUUAGCUCGCGGCUGGCUCAAAUGAAAUCAUGUGGCAUCCACCGUCACGACAAGCGUUGGUUGAGAACUCCACUCUCUUGCUGUUGUGUUGGAUGGGGGCCCCUGCUUCNUAAUANAACCCNAAUGUGUGAAUUCUUGCACAUUUCNAAAUGCGAACCCCANGGUCAGGCGGGGAUCACCCCGCUGAGUUUAAGCCAUAUCAAU
rnacentral:rRNA from 1 species